rnacentral:rRNA from 1 species
CCUACGGGAGGCUGCAGUGAGGAAUAUUGGUCAAUGGACGAGAGUCUGAACCAGCCAAGUAGCGUGAAGGAUGACUGCCCUAUGGGUUGUAAACUUCUUUUAUAUAGGAAUAAAAUGUUCCACGUGUGGGAUUUUGUAUGUACCAUAUGAAUAAGGAUCGGCUAACUCCGUGCCAGCAGCCGCGGUAAUACGGAGGAUCCGAGCGUUAUCCGGAUUUAUUGGGUUUAAAGGGAGCGUAGGUGGAUUGUUAAGUCAGUUGUGAAAGUUUGCGGCUCAACCGUAAAAUUGCAGUUGAUACUGGCAGGCUUGAGUACAGUAGAGGUGGGCGGAAUUCGUGGUGUAGCGGUGAAAUGCUUAGAUAUCACGAAGAACUCCGAUUGCGAAGGCAGCUCACUGGACUGCAACUGACACUGAUGCUCGAAAGUGUGGGUAUCAAACAGGAUUAGAUACCCGAGUAGUC